rnacentral:misc_RNA from 1 species
CCUGGCUCUCUUGAGAAUCUUCAUUUCCUUGAGAAAAAUCAACAGUAGUAUAUGUUCUUACCCCUGGACCAUGUCCAUUACAAUCCAUCUCCCUUCCUUGUUGUGCACGUCUUACCUCCUUCUGGUGCUCAGUUAGUUCCAAUCUUUUCUUUUUGAACUCGAACACAACUUAUCUUUGUGCUCAAAUUGAUUCACUGUAUCCUCCAUGAGUUCUACUCGUUUUGAGCUCCUGCUAUGCAUUGCAGUCACCUUGUAUCUUUGAGCAGUGAACUCUGGUUUAGAAUUACAUUUUACAAGAAAUGGCAGGCUUUUCUUGUGGAGCUUUAUUUUUUCAGUUCUGGACAGCUUGUCUAAGACAUCAAGUAAUCUCUCAGGGUAAUCUAAGUUAAUCUGCUCACCAUAUGUUGAAUUCCAGAAGGUGAUGGUAAGCUCAGAAAUAAUGCAAUCUGGAUGAUCGAGAGUUUUUUCUAGGAGGGGUGCCUGAAGUUUGAGGAACAAUGAAUCAAAUACUAUUGGUGGCUGACUCCUCUUUAAACAAUCAAGGAUUUCAGCCCACAGACGUUGAAGUUGAUCAUUGGUAUUGCCAUCAUGUAUUCCUCCAUGUGACAACCACUGAACUAGUGGACAAGUUAUUAUCUCAAUAACAGAAAGAAUAGUUUGCUUCAAGUGAAGGCAUCUCACAAGACUUGUC